AACUGCGAUAAGUAAUGUGAAUUGCAGAAUUCAGUGAAUCAUCGAGUCUUUGAACGCACAUUGCGCCCCCUGGCAUUCCGGGGGGCAUGCCUGUCCGAGCGUCAUUGCUGCCCUUCAAGCCCGGCUUGUGUGUUGGGUCGUCGUCCCCUCCGGGGGACGGGCCCGAAAGGCAGCGGCGGCACCGCGUCCGGUCCUCGAGCGUAUGGGGCUUUGUCACCCGCUCGAUAAGGACCGGCCGGGCGCCAGCCGACGUCUCCAACCUUUUUUUCUCAGGUUGACCUCGGAUCAGGUAGGGAUACCCGCUGAACUUAAGC
rnacentral:misc_RNA from 1 species